rnacentral:rRNA from 1 species
UACGUAGGGUGCGAGCGUUUGUCCGGAAUUAUUGGGCGUAAAGAGCUUGUAGGCGGUUUGUCGCGUCUGCUGUGAAAAUCCGGGGCUCAACCCCGGACUUGCAGUGGGUACGGGCAGACUAGAGUGUGUAGGGGAGACUGGAAUUCCUGGUGUAGCGGUGAAAUGCGCAGAUAUCAGGAGGAACACCGAUGGCGAAGGCAGGUCUCUGGGCAUUAACUGACGCUGAGGAGCGAAAGCAUGGGGAGCGAACGGG